AUUGAACGCUGGCGGCAGGCUUAACACAUGCAAGUCGAGCGGGGUGAUGGUGCUUGCACUAUCACUUAGCGGCGGACGGGUGAGUAAUGCUUAGGAAUCUGCCUCUUAGUGGGGGACAACCUCUCGAAAGGGAUGCUAAUACCGCAUACGUCCUACGGGAGAAAGCAGGGGAUCACUUGUGACCUUGCGCUAAUAGAUGAGCCUAAGUCGGAUUAGCUAGUUGGUGGGGGAAAGGGCUACCAAGGCGACGAUCUGUAGCGGGUCUGAGAGGAUGAUCCGCCACACUGGGACUGAGACACAGCCCAGACACCUACGGGAGGCAGCAGUGGGGAAUGUUGAACAAUGGGGGGAAACCGAUACCAGCCAUGCGGCGUGUGUGAAGAAGGCCUUAUGGUUGUAAAGCACUUUAAGCGAGGAGGAGGCUCUGUUGGUUAAUACCCAUGAUGAGUGGACGUUACUCGCAGAGUAAGCACCGGCUAUCUCUGUGCCAGCCGCCGCCGUAA
rnacentral:rRNA from 1 species